rnacentral:lncRNA from 1 species
GUUCAUCUACUGCACAAUGAGAAUGCUAGACAUGCAUCUCAGGUGGCUUCAGGACUCACAAAAGAGGGACAUCUAAGCAGACUGGAAGAAGAGACCUGGGCUGGAAGGGUCUUCCAAAUGCCAAAUACAGUGUUUGCAACACCUGAGAAUGAGAAGGAAUGGAGGAAGCACAGAGAAAUUCACUGAUGGGCCCCACAUCAUGCAGCCUGUCUGUACAAAUGUGAGGAUAUUGGAAAACACCAGCCUUCCAUCAUCUUCAUGGUUUCUCUGAAUAGAAUCCUAGGCUGUCCCUUAUUUCUGAUCAGAAGUUGGGGGGUGGACUUCAAGAAAAAAUUUUGAGUAUGAUCUGCAAAUAUAGGUGUAGGGCAUGGGGAAUGCACUAUUGAUGCAGUUAAAGGAGCCAGAUGCCCUACUAUAUGGAGAAGGCUCCACUUUACUUGAUGCUGGAAAACUUAGGGGAUUGGCCAGCAUCCUGAAAGACAAGAAAGGACUUAUAUAAGGUUCUUUUGGCAAAGGUGAGAAGUGAGAAAUGAAUAGUUUAUAAUGGAAGAUGUUUAAUAAGUUGGUAGACAUGAACCACAUUCUCAGUUUCUUGGACCUUAAAGCCCAAAAGAUGCAUAUUAAAAAGUGUAUUGCCUCUCAAAUUAUAACUAUUGUGAGAAAGGAGAAUGUUUUCUUCAUAUGGGAGUGAUGGAAAUUAUGCAGUUCUGGAGAAUAUAUGUAUCAGGAUAUAGAAAGUUGUACACCUUCUGAUUUCACUCUACUCACAAGACUGUUUUUACCAAAGAAUCAGGUGUUGUUUUUUUCCUACAGGAAGAGAAAUUGGGUAAUGGGAAUCAGAGAUGGGAAAGAGGCUUCUCACUCCAUUAAAUCAUGGAAUGAGUUACCUUUUCAGGAACUAAUUAUAUUAA